rnacentral:rRNA from 1 species
GACGAACGCUGGCGGCGUGCUUAACACAUGCAAGUCGAACGGAAAGGCCCUGCUUUUGUGGGGUGCUCGAGUGGCGAACGGGUGAGUAACACGUGAGUAACCUGCCCUUGACUUUGGGAUAACUUCAGGAAACUGGGGCUAAUACCGGAUAGGAGCUCCUGCUGCAUGGUGGGGGUUGGAAAGUUUCGGCGGUUGGGGAUGGACUCGCGGCUUAUCAGCUUGUUGGUGGGGUAGUGGCUUACCAAGGCUUUGACGGGUAGCCGGCCUGGGAGGGUGACCGGCCACAUUGGGACUGAGGUACGGCCCAGACUCCUACGGGAGGCAGCAGUGGGGAAUAUUGCACAAUGGGCGGAAGCCUGAUGCAGCAGCGCCGCGUGCGGGAUGACGGCCUUCGGGUUGUAAACCGCUUUCGCCUGUGACGAAGCGUGAGUGACGGUAAUGGGUAAAGAAGCACCGGCUAACUACGUG